GGGAGCAUUGACGAUCUAUGGAAGUAUAUGGUGACGAUUGUAGCCCUUUAAUGGUGUGUGAUCAGCUAAAGUCUCAAAGAGUUGUUUUGGUCCAGCUCAAUUGAUCACUGUUUUCCCUGCCUUGAAAUUGUAUUUUCUUUGUUUCUGUGAAUUGUUUAUUUUGUUUCCUUUUACUUUUUGGCCCAUGACUAUCGGUUAUCGUUUGGUCCGUUUAUUUUACAUGCCAAUGAGGCCAGUACUGGCAGCUUACUCAUUGUAACUAUAUAGGGAGGAAGUAUAUUCACCAUCAUUCACAUGUGUGCUGU